rnacentral:rRNA from 1 species
UACAGAGGUGGCAAGCGUUGCUCGGUAUCACUGGGCUUAAAGGGCGCGUAGGCGGUGCGGUGCGGUUUCGGUGAAAUCCCUCGGCCCAACCGAGGAACAGCCGGGGCUACGGCCGCGCUAGACGGCAUCAGGGGACAGUGGAACUCCCGGUGGAGCGGUGAAAUGCGUAGAUAUCGGGAGGAACGCCGGUGGCGAAAGCGACUGUCUGGGGUGCCUGUGACGCUGAGGCGCGAAAGCUAGGGGAGCGAACGGG